rnacentral:rRNA from 1 species
AUUGAACGCUGGCGGCAGGCCUAACACAUGCAAGUCGAACGAGUGGCGGACGUGUGAGUAAUGUCUGGGACACUGCCCGAUGGAGGGGGAUAACUACUGGAAACGGUAGCUAAUACCGCAUACCAUCGGAUGUGCCCACAUGGGAUUGGCUAGUAGGUGGGGUAACGGCUCACCGAGGCGACGAGCCCUAGCUGGUCUGAGAGGAUGACCGGCCACACGGGAACUGAGACACGGUCCAGAGGCCUAGGGGAGGCAGCAGUGGGGAAUAUUGGACAAUGGGCGCAAGCCUGAUGCAGCCAUGCCGCGUGUAUGAAGAAGGCAUUCGGGUUGUAAAGUACUUUCAGCGAGGAGGCGUUACUCGCAGAAGAAGCACCGGCUAACUCCGUGCCAGCAGCCGCGGUAAUAC